UCCAGCGCCGCUCCCACCUUCUACUCUCUCCACGAUCCCCUCCCCUCCCACCUCGCCGAGCCUCGAUCUGGCCGGAUCUUGCCAAUCCACACACGGAUCUGGCCUAACAAUUCCGCAGCUGCGGCGGCGGGCCACCAGGACGGCGGCGGGAACCACCAACCCAUCUUGAGAUCUCAACGGCGGCGGGUACCAAGAACCGAUGUUGCACCAACCGCGCGCGUCACAAGGAGGGCGAGUGUGGUUGCUGCCGGAGUAGUGAACGCUGCGCUUGGCGCUGGACCAGCGGGGGAUGGGUGGGCCGUGAGGCUUCAUUGGGUCGUUUCCAACUGCCCCGGCAUCGGCGGCGAUGAGUUGGUGCGCCAGCAGACAUGACCGUCCGCGCGCAAGGACCCCAUGAAUCCCGUGUACGCGGCCAAGGUGACCACGCCACUCGCAGCUCCAUCUGGGCUAUCCUCACUGUCAUCGUCACUUUCGGCCGGUGCCAGCAUCGAUGACAUAAUUUAUCAAUAGUGGGUUCAGUAGUAACUCAAAUCUGUUUCUCUGAAUGUGCCAGCGUGUGAUGGAAUUUAUCAUUGGAUAUUCUGCAAUCCAGAAGAACUGGCUACUCAGAAGUGGAUGACAGUGAACAGGAGAAGCUAUGGUUUCUUGAUUUGUUGUUAUGUGUAUGUGUUGUCAUGAAGCAUAGUGGUUCUGGCUUUGUGUAAAAUCAUUAUAAGUAUAGUACCUCUUUAGAGGAGUUUAACGCUGAACUAUGUAUGUGAUUCAUGUACCUGAAGUAUCCACUAUGAUGCCUAUUGCUGAAAACAAUA